rnacentral:rRNA from 1 species
ACGGUCCUAAGGUAGCGAAAUUCCUUGUCGGGUAAGUUCCGACCCGCACGAAUGGCGUAACGAUGGCCACACUGUCUCCUCCCGAGACUCAGCGAAGUUGAAGUGGUUGUGAAGAUGCAAUCUACCCGCUGCUAGACGGAAAGACCCCGUGAACCUUUACUGUAGCUUUGCAUUGGACUUUGAAGUCACUUGUGUAGGAUAGGUGGGAGGCUUAGAAGCAGAGACGCCAGUCUCUGUGGAGCCGUCCUUGAAAUACCACCCUGGUGUCUUUGAGGUUCUAACCCAGACCCGUAAUCCGGGUCGGGGACCGUGCAUGGUAGGCAGUUUGACUGGGGCGGUCUCCUCCCAAAGAGUAACGGAGGAGUUCGAAGGUUACCUAGGUCCGGUCGGAAAUCGGACUGAUAGUGCAAUGGCAAAAGGUAGCUUAACUGCGAGACCGACAAGUCGAGCAGGUGCGAAAGCAGGACAUAGUGAUCCGGUGGUUCUGUAUGGAAGGGCCAUCGCUCAACGGAUAAAAGGUACUCCGGGGAUAACAGGCUGAUUCCGCCCAAGAGUUCAUAUCGACGGCGGAGUUUGGCACCUCGAUGUCGGCUCAUCACAUCCUGGGGCUGUAGUCGGUCCCAAGGGUAUGGCUGUUCGCCAUUUAAAGUGGUACGUGAGCUGGGUUUAAAACGUCGUGAGACAGUUUGGUCCCUAUCUGCAGUGGGCGUUGGAAGUUUGACGGGGGCUGCUCCUAGUACGAGAGGACCGGAGUGGACGAACCUCUGGUGUACCGGUUGUAACGCCAGUUGCAUAGCCGGGUAGCUAAGUUCGGAAGAGAUAAGCGCUGAAAGCAUCUAAGCGCGAAACUCGCCUGAAGAUGAGACUUCCCUUGCGGUUUAACCGCACUAAAGAGUCGUUCGAGACCAGGACGUUGAUAGGUCGGGUGUGGAAGAGUGGCAACACUUGAAGCUAACCGAUACUAAUUGCUCGUGAGGCUUGACUCU